UGUCCAACUUUUGCCAAUCUCAGCACUCAAUGAAUAAUUGGGGUUUACACAAACUUAAACCUUGACUAAAAGUCGUAAGGUAAGCUGUUAGUCCCC